AUCCCAGGUUGUCAUCUGUGAUCCUGAUGGUCAGUUCCUUGCAUGACGUCAUCGAUGAUGUAACAGAGAGAGCAGUUCCGGGCAAGCAUGAUAUGACAGGGGAGCUGAAACCCGGACGUCAGGUCUCCCUUUUCCUGUAGUAAUCCAGAGAACGGACAAGAGCCUACGCAGCUUGACCUUGGAGCUGUCUCAAGAGUUACCAUCGACGAGGUGUAUUGGGGACUCCAGUUCGUGUCUAGAUACUACAAACAACUACUAG